rnacentral:misc_RNA from 1 species
AUACUCUCAACCUUCUUGGUUUUUCUUUGACCACGAAGGCUUGGACUUUGGAGGUUUUUCUUGCUGGCCUCUUUUGAAGCCAGCUCCUCCUAAAUGAAUGGGUGGGGUCCGCCUUGCUGAUCCUCGACGUGAUAAGCAUUUCUUCUACGUCUCAGUGUCAGCUCGGAACCCGCUUUCCAACCGUCUUUGGACAAAGACAAUGUUCGAGUUGUGACUCGACCUUACAAA